rnacentral:rRNA from 1 species
AUACGUAGGUGGCGAGCGUUGUCCGGAAUCAUUGGGCGUAAAGAGCGCGUAGGUGGCUUGUCAGGUCCGAUGUGAAAACCUGGGGCUCAACUCCAGGCCUGCAUCGGAAACCGGCUUGCUAGAGUCUGGGAGAGGAGAGUGGAAUUCCUGGUGUAGCGGUGAAAUGCGUAGAUAUCAGGAGGAACACCGGUAGCGAAGGCGGCUCUCUGGAACAGUACUGACGCUGAGGCGCGAAAGCUAGGGGAGC